UCCACCAACCGGAAGAGUUCGGGAAAGGUUUAAAGGAGACACCGCCUGUACAUUGUGAGCCACGCGGCAGAGCAGUUCUCCUGGGUUUCCUUACCCUGCUGCUCUCCACCCGGGGGCCCUUUCCCAAUAAAAUCUCUUGCUCUGUCAGCACAUAUGUCUCCUCAGACAAUUCAUUUCCAAGUAUUAGGCAAGAGCCCAGUUUCGGGUCCUGGAAGGGGUCCCUCUUCCUGCAACAAAUGGUGUCUCUGGCGGAGACUCUUCUUCACCAAGACUGACAUCCUAACCACUUGGGGUACUCAGGGGCCAGCUUGCCUGCCAAUGGACCAGACCCAGCGGCCGCAACUGGGACCCUUUUGUCCCUGGUCUCCUCCUGACGUGGACAACUGGCCAGAGUGCCCCAACCGGUAACAGAUUUAGUUACUUCAACUGAUUCUUCAAUCAGACUACUACUCUCUAUAAUCCUAAUUAACAAACCUAUGUUUAAAAAUGUUUUACAUAAAAGUAUUAUCUACUGACAUUCUUUUCUACUUGGUAAUGUAAUGCGCAUUCUCUAGAUAAAAUAUCCUUAAUCUUCCACCCCACCAGAGAUCAAAAUGCCAACAUCCACUGGAUCAUUGACAAAGCAACAGAGUUCCAAAAAACCAUCUAUUUCGGCUUUAUUGACUAUACCAAAGCCUUUGACUGUGUGGAUCACAAUAAACUGUGGAAAAUUCGAAAGAGAUAGGAAUACCAGAUCACCUGACCUACCUCUUGAGAAACCUAUAUGAAGGUCAGGAAGCAACAGUUACAAAUGGACAUGGAACAAAAGGCUGGCUCCAGAUAGGAAAAGGAAUAUGUCAAGGCUGUAUAUUGUCACCCUGCUUAUUUAACUUAUAUGCAGAGUACAUCAUGAGAAAAUUCGGUCUGGAGGAAGCAUGAGCUGGAAUCAAGAUUGCCGGGAGAAAUAUCAAUAACCUCAGAUAUGUAAAUGAGACCACCUUAUGGCAGAAAGUGAA
rnacentral:lncRNA from 1 species